rnacentral:rRNA from 1 species
UUUUCCAGGCAAAUCCGGAAAAUCAAGGCUGAGGCGUGAUGACGAGGCACUACGGUGCUGAAGCAACAAAUGCCCUGCUUCCAGGAAAAGCCUCUAAGCAUCAGGUAACAUCAAAUCGUACCCCAAACCGACACAGGUGGUCAGGUAGAGAAUACCAAGGCGCUUGAGAGAACUCGGGUGAAGGAACUAGGCAAAAUGGUGCCGUAACUUCGGGAGAAGGCACGCUGAUAUGUAGGUGAAGCGACUUGCUCGUGGAGCUGAAAUCAGUCGAAGAUACCAGCUGGCUGCAACUGUUUAUUAAAAACACAGCACUGUGCAAACACGAAAGUGGACGUAUACGGUGUGACGCCUGCCCGGUGCCGGAAGGUUAAUUGAUGGGGUUAGCGGUAACGCGAAGCUCUUGAUCGAAGCCCCGGUAAACGGCGGCCGUAACUAUAACGGUCCUAAGGUAGCGAAAUUCCUUGUCGGGUAAGUUCCGACCUGCACGAAUGGCGUAAUGAUGGCCAGGCUGUCUCCACCCGAGACUCAGUGAAAUUGAACUCGCUGUGAAGAUGCAGUGUACCCGCGGCAAGACGGAAAGACCCCGUGAACCUUUACUAUAGCUUGACACUGAACAUUGAGCCUUGAUGUGUAGGAUAGGUGGGAGGCUUUGAAGUGUGGACGCCAGUCUGCAUGGAGCCGGCCUUGAAAUACCACCCUUUAAUGUUUGAUGUUCUAACGUUGGCCCCUGAUCGGGGUUGCGGACAGUGUCUGGUGGGUAGUUUGACUGGGGCGGUCUCCUCCUAAAGAGUAACGGAGGAGCACGAAGGUUGGCUAAUCCUGGUCGGACAUCAGGAGGUUAGUGCAAUGGCAUAAGCCAGCUUGACUGCGAGCGUGACGGCGCGAGCAGGUGCGAAAGCAGGUCAUAGUGAUCCGGUGGUUCUGAAUGGAAGGGCCAUCGCUCAACGGAUAAAAGGUACUCCGGGGAUAACAGGCUGAUACCGCCCAAGAGUUCAUAUCGACGGCGGUGUUUGGCACCUCGAUGUCGGCUCAUCACAUCCUGGGGCUGAAGUAGGUCCCAAGGGUAUGGCUGUUCGCCAUUUAAAGUGGUACGCGAGCUGGGUUUAGAACGUCGUGAGACAGUUCGGUCCCUAUCUGCCGUGGGCGCUGGAGAACUGAGGGGGGCUGCUCCUAGUACGAGAGGACCGGAGUGGACGCAUCACUGGUGUUCGGGUUGUCAUGCCAAUGGCACUGCCCGGUAGCUAAAUGCGGAAGAGAUAAGUGCUGAAAGCAUCUAAGCACGAAACUUGCCCCGAGAUGAGUUCUCCCUGAGACUUAGAGUCUCCUGAAGGAACGUUGAAGACGACGACGUUGAUAGGCCGGGUGUGUAAGCGCAGCGAUGCGUUGAGCUAACCGGUACUAAUGAACCGUGAGGCUUAACCUU